GAGGGUAUAGCUCAGUGGUAGAGCACAUGCUUAGCAUGCAGGUGGUCCUGGGUUCAAGCCCCAGAACCGCCA
rnacentral:tRNA from 1 species